rnacentral:rRNA from 1 species
GCAGCCUGAUGCAGCGACGCCGCGUGCGGGAUGGGAGGGCCUUCGGGUUGUAAACCGCUUUUGUUCAAGGGCAAGGCACGGUUUCGGCCGUGUUUGAGUGGAUUGGUUCGAAUAAGCACCGGCUAACUACGUUGCCAGCAGCCGCGGUAAUACA